AGAGCUGUGAGAAGUUGUGCUGUUGGAGAGACUGAGCUGUAUACACCAUACUAGGUACAAGGAAGGAGGCCCUGAGGGCCACCCAAAGGGGGCGGGCAAGUGGGGCAAUUUGCCCCAGGCCUCGAGCCCCGCAGGGGCCCCCGCAAGCCGCUCUGGGUCUUCGGCGGCAGGUCCUCCAGUGCAGCAGAAGACUCGGAGUGAGUGAAGGACCUGUCGCUGAAGUGCUGCCGAAGCCUCGGAGCGCCGCCUGGGAGAGGAAGAAGAGAGAAGGAAACACGUGUGACAGAUGGUAUUCCUACUGAUGAAUUCACCACCAGAACAGCCUACAAUACCACAGUGAUAGGAGCAGUAGAAGAACUGAACAGAAUAAAAUGGAGCCCAGUCAAGGACCAAGACUCUGUUGUAAACAGCACAAAGCUAGAACAAACUCUGGGAGGAAGGUCCUGAGAAAGAAACAUAGAAACAGAGAUUUUGGGGCUGAGUGCUGGCUGAAAGAGGCUUGGGACAUUGAGCAAAGAAACAGCUUCCUGUUCUAUGAUUCCUGCUGUGUUCCAGGAAAAAAGGAUUUUGUACAUUUUUUGAAAAUAAAAGGAUUGCAUCAAAGAAAUACCUGAUUCCAACAUCAAUUUCUCCUCCUAACCAAAACAACC